rnacentral:rRNA from 1 species
UAACGCGUGAGCAACCUGCCUUGAAGUGGGGGACAACAGUUGGAAACGACUGCUAAUACCGCAUAAAAUAUCUGCAUCGCAUGGUGCGGAUAUCAAAGAUUUAUCGCUUCGAGAUGGGCUCGCGUCUGAUUAGGUAGUUGGCGGGGUAAUGGCCCACCAAGCCGACGAUCAGUAGCCGGACUGAGAGGUUGAACGGCCACAUUGGGACUGAGAUACGGCCCAGACUCCUACGGGAGGCAGCAG